CCUACGGGAGGCAGCAGUGGGGAAUAUUUGGCAAUGGGCGAAAGCCUGACCCAGCAACGCCGCGUGAAGGAAGAAGGCUUUCGGGUUGUAAACUUCUUUUGACAGGGAAGAGCAGACGACGGUACCUGUCGAAUAAGCCACGGCUAACUACGUGCCAGCAGCCGGGGUAAUACGUAGGUGGCAAGCGUUGUCCGGAUUUAGUGGGUGUAAAGGGCGGGUAGCCGGGCUGUGAAGUCAGAUGUGAAAUCCGGGGGCUCAACCCGCGAAGUGCAUUUGAAACUGUUGGACUUGAGUAUCGGAGAGGCAGGCGGAAUUCCUAGUGUAGCGGUGAAAUGCGUAGAUAUUAGGAGGAACACCAGUGGCGAAGGCGGCCUGCUGGUCGACAACUGACAUUGAUGUUCGAAAGUGUGGGUAGCAAACAGGAUUAGAUACCCCAGUAGUC
rnacentral:rRNA from 1 species